rnacentral:rRNA from 1 species
UACGGAGGGGGCUAGCGUUGUUCGGAAUUACUGGGCGUAAAGCGCACGUAGGCGGCUUUGUAAGUUAGAGGUGAAAGCCUGGAGCUCAACUCCAGAAUAGCCUUUAAGACUGCAUCGCUUGAAUCCAGGAGAGGUGAGUGGAAUUCCGAGUGUAGAGGUGAAAUUCGUAGAUAUUCGGAAGAACACCAGUGGCGAAGGCGACUUACUGGACACAUAUUGACGCUGAGGUGCGAAAGCGUGGGAGCAAACAGG